rnacentral:lncRNA from 1 species
GUCCAUCAAGGCUGGUGGGACCGGGCAGCACGAGAGGGAGGGAGGCAGUGAUCCCCCCUCACCUGCAAGCUGGAGAGGCCCACAUAGAAAGAAGCUGUGGGCCACCAUCCGCCAUGGCCAGCAAGGAACUGAGAGCCUCAGUCCAGCAGCUGGGGAAGAACUGAGUCCUGCCAAUAACCACAGAGUGAACUUGGCAACAGAUCUUGACCCAGCUGAGCCUUCAGGCUGGAGCACUUAAUGGGCGGUGCAAAUGCCUUGAUGCUUUGUCGUCCUGCCAUGGUGACAAUGGAAGAGCCACCAGACUGGAGGAGCUGAGGACACUGAGCUAUCAUAUGGGGACAGCUGCCCUGGAGAGCCGCCCAGACUCACAGCUGACUUUGUGUGAGUGAUAAAUAAAUCCUGGUCAUAUUAAGCCACUGAAA